rnacentral:lncRNA from 1 species
GGUGCAUGUUGGCUGUAGUAGGUUUGUUGUAGGAAUAGGGUGUGCACUUAUGUAGAAUCUAUCUUUCUUGGUAGAUAGGAGCGUUAAUUCUAUAUGAUUUAUAAGACCAAGUUUAAAAGACCUUGGGCAGAGCAGAGUUAAUAGCAAAAAAUGUUUUCGAUAUUAGAAACUCGAGUCGAAUAAAUUUGACAUAUGACAGACGAUGAGGUUUGACGAGCUAUUUCAUGACUUCCAUCUAGUCGGGACUUAUGAUAGAAGGACUGCAUCACAAGGUAACUGUAUCAAGAGGUUUAGUAUUCUAUUCUACUGGAACGUCACUACAUACUGUUAGGCGUCACUGGUGGAUUGUGAGACUCAUGAGAGUUGUUUGGAUGAUCGAUAAUUCUUAUUGGGCUGAGUUGGGAUUGUUUCAAUCGACUGAAAAGAGUUUCAGUGAUAUUCUUGACAGUGAUUAGAAUAUCUCACUACCAAAUAGAAUAGACAUAUAUGGUCACACAUGUAAGAGGUUGUAACUGAUCGGAUAGCUGGAUCGCGAUUUUUUAAUUGCCGGAGGACCUAAUUGUCAAUAUAUUGAUAAUUGGACUAAUUUAUGAUUGUUACAAAUUAGUGGUAUAAAAGUGUAAAUAUUAUAAGAGAGGACUUCCUAACAGUUAGUAAAUUAUGAGAGGAUUUAUGUGCGAAUAUUAUAUUAUUAGUUUGAUAUGAUCAAAUUAGGAUAAAUUCAAAUAGAAUCAAAUUAGGAUUUGAUCGAUCUAACCAAUUAAGGAAAAGAUGAUUAUAUUCUUCUAUAUAAUAUAUGGGAGUUUUUAUAAAAUGCUAGCGAUCAUUUCUCUUAUCUCUCAUCUUCUCUU